rnacentral:rRNA from 1 species
UUAAGUUAUUAAGGGCGCACGGUGGAUGCCUUGGCACUAGAAGCCGAUGAAGGACGUUACUAACGACGAUAUGCUUUGGGGAGCUGUAAGUAAGCUUUGAUCCAGAGAUUUCCGAAUGGGGAAACCCAGCAUGAGUUAUGUCAUGUUAUCGAUAUGUGAAUACAUAGCAUAUCAGAAGGCACACCCGGAGAACUGAAACAUCUUAGUACCCGGAGGAAGAGAAAGAAAAUUCGAUUCCCUUAGUAGCGGCGAGCGAAACGGGAAGAGCCCAAACCAACAAGCUUGCUUGUUGGGGUUGUAGGACACUCUAUACGGAGUUACAAAGGACGACAUUAGACGAAUCAUCUGGAAAGAUGAAUCAAAGAAGGUAAUAAUCCUGUAGUCGAAAAUGUUGUCUCUCUUGAGUGGAUCCUGAGUACGACGGAGCACGUGAAAUUCCGUCGGAAUCUGGGAGGACCAUCUCCUAAGGCUAAAUACUCUCUAGUGACCGAUAGUGAACCAGUACCGUGAGGGAAAGGUGAAAAGCACCCCGGAAGGGGAGUGAAAUAGAACCUGAAACCGUGUGCUUACAAGUAGUCAGAGCCCGUUAAUGGGUGAUGGCGUGCCUUUUGUAGAAUGAACCGGCGAGUUACGAUUUGAUGCAAGGUUAAGCAGUAAAUGUGGAGCCGUAGCGAAAGCGAGUCUGAAUAGGGCGUUUAGUAUUUGGUCGUAGACCCGAAACCAGGUGAUCUACCCUUGGUCAGGUUGAAGUUCAGGUAACACUGAAUGGAGGACCGAACCGACUUACGUUGAAAAGUGAGCGGAUGAACUGAGGGUAGCGGAGAAAUUCCAAUCGAACCUGGAGAUAGCUGGUUCUCUCCGAAAUAGCUUUAGGGCUAGCCUCAAGUGAUGAUUAUUGGAGGUAGAGCACUGUUUGGACGAGGGGCCCCUCUCGGGUUACCGAAUUCAGACAAACUCCGAAUGCCAAUUAAUUUAACUUGGGAGUCAGAACAUGGGUGAUAAGGUCCGUGUUCGAAAGGGAAACAGCCCAGACCACCAGCUAAGGUCCCAAAAUAUAUGUUAAGUGGAAAAGGAUGUGGCGUUGCCCAGACAACUAGGAUGUUGGCUUAGAAGCAGCCAUCAUUUAAAGAGUGCGUAAUAGCUCACUAGUCGAGUGACACUGCGCCGAAAAUGUACCGGGGCUAAACAUAUUACCGAAGCUGUGGAUUGUCCUUUGGACAAUGGUAGGAGAGCGUUCUAAGGGCGUUGAAGCAUGAUCGUAAGGACAUGUGGAGCGCUUAGAAGUGAGAAUGCCGGUGUGAGUAGCGAAAGACGGGUGAGAAUCCCGUCCACCGAUUGACUAAGGUUUCCAGAGGAAGGCUCGUCCGCUCUGGGUUAGUCGGGUCCUAAGCUGAGGCCGACAGGCGUAGGCGAUGGAUAACAGGUUGAUAUUCCUGUACCACCUAUAAUCGUUUUAAUCGAUGGGGGGACGCAGUAGGAUAGGCGAAGCGUGCGAUUGGAUUGCACGUCUAAGCAGUAAGGCUGAGUAUUAGGCAAAUCCGGUACUCGUUAAGGCUGAGCUGUGAUGGGGAGAAGACAUUGUGUCUUCGAGUCGUUGAUUUCACACUGCCGAGAAAAGCCUCUAGAUAGAAAAUAGGUGCCCGUACCGCAAACCGACACAGGUAGUCAAGAUGAGAAUUCUAAGGUGAGCGAGCGAACUCUCGUUAAGGAACUCGGCAAAAUGACCCCGUAACUUCGGGAGAAGGGGUGCUCUUUAGGGUUAACGCCCAGAAGAGCCGCAGUGAAUAGGCCCAAGCGACUAUUUAUCAAAAACACAGGUCUCUGCUAAACCGUAAGGUGAUGUAUAGGGGCUGACGCCUGCCCGGUGCUGGAAGGUUAAGAGGAGUGGUUAGCUUCUGCGAAGCUACGAAUCGAAGCCCCAGUAAACGGCGGCCGUAACUAUAACGGUCCUAAGGUAGCGAAAUUCCUUGUCGGGUAAGUUCCGACCCGCACGAAAGGCGUAACGAUUUGGGCACUGUCUCAACGAGAGACUCGGUGAAAUCAUAGUACCUGUGAAGAUGCAGGUUACCCGCGACAGGACGGAAAGACCCCGUGGAGCUUUACUGUAGCCUGAUAUUGAAAUUCGGCACAGCUUGUACAGGACAGGUAGGAGCCUUUGAAACGUGAGCGCUAGCUUACGUGGAGGCGCUGGUGGGAUACUACCCUAGCUGUGUUGGCUUUCUAACCCGCACCACUUAUCGUGGUGGGAGACAGUGUCAGGCGGGCAGUUUGACUGGGGCGGUCGCCUCCUAAAGGUAACGGAGGCGCUCAAAGGUUCCCUCAGAAUGGUUGGGAAAUCAUUCAUAGAGUGUAAAGGCAUAAGGGAGCUUGACUGCGAGACCUACAAGUCGAGCAGGGUCGAAAGACGGACUUAGUGAUCCGGUGGUUCCGCAUGGAAGGGCCAUCGCUCAACGGAUAAAAGCUACCCCGGGGAUAACAGGCUUAUCUCCCCCAAGAGUUCACAUCGACGGGGAGGUUUGGCACCUCGAUGUCGGCUCAUCGCAUCCUGGGGCUGUAGUCGGUCCCAAGGGUUGGGCUGUUCGCCCAUUAAAGCGGUACGCGAGCUGGGUUCAGAACGUCGUGAGACAGUUCGGUCCCUAUCCGUCGUGGGCGUAGGAAAUUUGAGAGGAGCUGUCCUUAGUACGAGAGGACCGGGAUGGACAUACCUCUGGUGUACCAGUUGUCGUGCCAACGGCAUAGCUGGGUAGCUAUGUGUGGACGGGAUAAGUGCUGAAAGCAUCUAAGCAUGAAGCCCCCCUCAAGAUGAGAUUUCCCAACUUCGGUUAUAAGAUCCCUCAAAGAUGAUGAGGUUAAUAGGUUCGAGGUGGAAGCAUGGUGACAUGUGGAGCUGACGAAUACUAAUCGAUCGAAGACUUAAUCAA